UUAAGCUUUGGCAUUUGCCCCUACAAGAGGUUGUGAUGGGCAGCAACGUAAUUGGCAUUAAAAGAGGAUUAGACAAAUUCAUGGAGGAUAAGGCUAUGAAUAGCUACUAGCCACCACUGUUGGAGGCAGCAUGCCUCUGAACACCAGUUGCCUGGAAUCACAGGUGGAGAGAGUGUUGCUGAGGUCAGGAUUUGCUUGCACCUUUCAGGUUUCCUAUUGCCAUCUGGUUGGCCAAUGGGACAGUAAUAUAUCUGUUCAGUAUAAUGCAAUUGUUUUCAAACCAUGGGAUGUGGCUGCCUCUUGAGAAGAAGAAGCAGCAGCCAAGAUCUAGGUGGGUUCAAUGUUGCCUGGAAGUGAUCUUAUGACAGCAGCAUCAGGAGACAAUCAGUCGGGUUGUGUAUCCAAAGCAGGGACCAGAGGAAGAAUGACAACUGGGGGGAGCGCAGAAAGAAGAAAUGCCAUGGUACACCUGCGUCAGCACAACUGGAUGCCUUCAUCUGCCCCAACUGCAACAAAACAUGUCUCUUCUGUAUCAGUCUGUACAGCCACAGCAGGCACUGUAACUCCAAUGGCUUGACCUCACCCCCAAAGGCACACUCCUCCAUCGUCUCCCAAGACAGACAAGUGCCAAGCAUGCAUUGGAUAAAAGUGCCACAUGCAAGACCCCUUGUUGCAUUUGUUGCAACAAACAAACAUGGCUGCCCCCCCCCCAUUUCCACGAAAGAUCCCUCAAAGGGGCUAUGAAACUUCAGUAGUUCUGUGCUCCUGGCUUCUUUAGAACUGCAGCCCCUUCAGACUUCAGCUGAGAGCAAUCUGAAUGAACAGCAAGCUGGAUGCAUCUGGCAAAUUACCUGCUGGUGAGCAAGUUUUGCUUUGAGUGACAGGGCUGUGUGCCUGUAACCCUAAACAUCACAUUGAAGGCCUUUAUCCUCAAGCCAAGUUUACAGAUUUCAUAAAGGCAUUAAACAAACAGUGCAAUGUUUUCACAUAAACAAACUUAGCUAGCAAAAAUAUUUGCUCCAUUUCCUUUUCCUUUCGUUAGACUUUGUGUGAUUAAUACCUGUGUGUCAGUUAAUGUUUCCCAAAGCUGUCAGCUUCCCUGAUUAGUACUUUGGUGGAAACACCAGGCCAUGCAAAUUACUCUUAGGCCCAAUUACAAGUGGGCAAAUCAAAAUAGUAAGCACUGGUGAGGAAUGCCAGCAGCAGGAUUCCUGCAUAUUUAACAGCCAGGAAGAAAUUCUGUACUCCUCACAUAUUUCUUUUCCAGGCAGAAGACAGGCAAAUGCCAUGCAGGCUGAGGAACAGACAGUUUAUAUUGUUACCAGUUUAUUCUUUAAGCACAGUUGCAAUCGCCUCGCAGUAUAGCUCAACAGAACAAAGUUUCAGGUGACUGAGCCAUGGUUUUGUGGGAAAUCUGUGGGAGAAAUAGGAGCAUUUCACUUAAACCUGUCAUCAUUGCAAAACAAUAGUGAUACUCUUUUAUCUGACAGAUCUCUGCUUUCUUUGGCAUUUAUGAUUUACAUAAAGCAAGUGCCUGUUUUCUCAGCUCUA